rnacentral:piRNA from 1 species
UGGGGCAGGCACAAGUACAUUUG